rnacentral:rRNA from 1 species
CCUACGGGAGGCAGCAGUAGGGAAUUUUCGACAAUGGGCGAAAGCCUGAACGAGCAAUGCCGCGUGAACGAAGAAGGUCUUCGGAUCGUAAAGCUCUGCUGUAGGGGAAGAAGAGGGGAGAGAGGAACUGAACACCGUUUGACGUUACCUAACGAGGAAGCCACGGCUAACUACGUGCCAGCAGCCGCGGUAAUACGUAGGUGGCGAGCGUUAUCCGGAUUGAUUGGGCGUAAAGGGAGCGCAGGCGGCCUGCUAAGUCUGAAGUGAAAGGAACCGGCUCAACCGGAAAAGGCCAUGGGA